UACGUAGGUGGCAAGCGUUGUCCGGAUUUAUUGGGUUUAAAGGGUGCGUAGGCGGUCUUUUAAGUCAGUGCUGAAAUACUCCAGCUUAACUGGAGGGGUGGCAUUGAUACUGGAAGACUUGAGUGCAGUCGAAGUAGGCGGAAUUGACGGUGUAGCGGUGAAAUGCUUAGAUAUCGUCAAGAACACCGAUAGUGAAGACAGCUUACUAGGCUGCAACUGACGCUGAGGAGCGAAAGCGUGGGGAGCAAACAGG
rnacentral:rRNA from 1 species